GAUGAACGCUGGCGGCGUGCCUAAUACAUGCAGGUCGAGCGAACGGACGAGAAGCUUGCUUCUCUGAUGUUAGCGGCGGACGGGUGAGUAACACGUGGAUAACCUACCUAUAAGACUGGGAUAACUUCGGGAAACCGUAGCUAAUACCGGAUAAUAUUUUGAACCGCAUGGUUCAAAAGUGAAAGACGGUCUUGCUGUCACUUAUAGAUGGAUCCGCGCUGCAUUAGCUAGUUGGUAAGGUAACGGCUUACCAAGGCAACGAUGCAUAGCCGACCUGAGAGGGUGAUCGGCCACACUGGAACUGAGACACGGUCCAGACUCCUACGGGAGGCAGCAGUAGGGAAUCUUCCGCAAUGGGCGAAAGCCUGACGGAGCAACGCCGCGUGAGUGAUGAAGGUCUUCGGAUCGUAAAACUCUGUUAUUAGGGAAGAACAUAUGUGUAAGUAACUGCGCACAUCUUGACGGUACCUAAUCAGAAAGCCACGGCUAACUACGUG
rnacentral:rRNA from 1 species